rnacentral:lncRNA from 1 species
CCAGCUUCCUGAGUUGUGAAUCAGCCUAGGCUGUCACUUGAUUCAUCCUGACCAAGGAACCUUGGGAACCUCCCCAAACCUGAGUACUUUAGCCCAAAGAUGAGUAGUCACAGGGAGGUCUGUCCAUCCCAACCCUACUCUGCCCUCCAGUUUCCUUGUUGUUUCUUUGAGAUUAGAAUUCAAGGCAUUGUUAAGAAGCCGAAGUCCCACCCACAGUGGCCCCACCCUGUUGGAGGAGGCUGUGGGGCUUUGGAAAGGGACUCAUAGGCACACACAUUGUUUCUUUGAGAUCCCACUGAAUUAAACUCCUUUGUCCUACACUUAAUUCCAGGGGAAUUAGUCAGCAUUAAUGAGUAGUAGCUCAUCCUACUUUCCUCUCCGCCUGGAAGUCCACCCACUAGCUUCUCCUUCCAAACCCAUGGUUUUCAGUGCUUGUUUGGAGGCCCUUAGUUCUGUGAAGUUAACUCUUAAAGGGCCUCACUGGAUGAAGAGGCAAAGGCAGGAUGCACUGAGGCGUGCCUAGGCACCCUAUCAGGACCACUUCACAUUUUAUCCAUUGUCUCUUUACCACAGGUGUCAAGGUCCUCUCCCAUCUGGAGACAUGAAGCAAGGUAGGAUGGAGAAUGGAACUGCAGACAAACUUAAACAUCAGCCUGGGACCGAAAGCAAUGGAAGCACCAG